rnacentral:lncRNA from 1 species
GGCCGGGAAACCCGCGCUGUCACAAAGGGGGACACGUGGGUGCCGCUGGCCCGGCCGCGCUCUCCCGCUGCGGGAGAGCUGCCUCCGCCGCCCGCCACCUCCUCCCCGGCCGCCCUGUGGGGCCGCGGCCGUGGCCGGCUGAGGAGAUCUCCCGGCCAAGUGGGAUCGCCGCCUUCAGUCACUCCACCGCGCUCCGACCCUGCACAGCCAUGUCCAUCCUCUACGUCUCUCCCCACCCCGACGCCUUCCCCAGCCUGCGAGCCCUCAUCGCUGCCCGCUACGGGGAAGCUGGGGACGGUCCCGGGUGGGGAGGCCCUCACCCUCGCAUCUGCCUGCAGCCUCCCCCGAGCAGCCGGACUCCAUUCCCCCCGCCUCGCCUGCCCGCCCUGGAGCAGGGGCCUGGCGGCCUGUGGGUGUGGGGGGCCCCGGCUGUAGCUCAGCUGCUGUGGCCAGCAGGCCUGGGAGGACCCGGGGGCAGCCGGGCAGCUGUCCUGGUCCAGCAGUGGGUCAGUUAUGCCGACACGGAGCUCACACCAGCUGCCUGCGGGGCGACGCUGCCUGCUCUAGGAC